rnacentral:lncRNA from 10 species
UCUAGGGCCGGCUGGACGCCCCAGAGGCCGGACCUGGGCAACCCCAGCCUGGAGGUGCCGGGGCCGGAGCUCCCAGAGGGCUGGGUGCGAGGCCUAGGCGGGGUCAGGUUCGGGUUCCUAGGCCAUAGCGGAGCUGCAGCCCAGGCGGCCGGAGCGGAACCCAGCCCCGCUCCGAGUGCCACGUCUCCAGGAACCCCCUCCUUACUCUUGGACAACACUCCGCCCCCGCCCGGGCCUCCGUCCCCCAAACCGCCCUCAUUUGUGCAGCGCCAGAUCCUUCGGACACAUCCCUAGGUGUCUCCAUCCUCAUUCGGUCCAUCCAACUCCCAGACCUCACGUCAACCGGCUGCACCCCACUUUCCAGCCUGCGCCCCAGAUCUGCAGCCUUCGCCCCUAGAUACACCCGCCUGGUGAUGAGGCGCUCCUCGCGUUCCUUCCGUCUCCAGUGCACCGGCUUUCCCUCGUCCUCUGCGCAGUCCAUCUCAGCUCAUCUCUCCAAUUCAAUGCCAUCAUCUCUCCUCACCAUCUCUCGGUGCCCUGGAAUGUUUGCUGUCAGAUGUCCCCUGUGAAACCCACAAACGCUUGCGAUUUGGCCUCCUUGUUUUAUUUUGUGUAGUCCUACAACGUCUUGUUACUACCCCCUAUUACAACACUUAUAACUCAGU